rnacentral:rRNA from 1 species
UGGGGAAUCUUGGACAAUGGGGGCAACCCUGAUCCAGCCAUGCCGCGUGAGUGAUGAAGGCCUUAGGGUCGUAAAGCUCUUUCGCCUGUGAAGAUAAUGACGGUAGCAGGUAAAGAAACCCCGGCUAACUCCGUGCCAGCAGCCGCGGUAAUACGGAGGGGGUUAGCGUUGUUCGGAAUUACUGGGCGUAAAGCGCACGUAGGCGGACCAGAAAGUUGGGGGUGAAAUCCCGGGGGCUCAACCCCGGAACUGCCUCCAAAACUAUUGGUCUAGAGUUCGAGAGAGGUGAGUGGAAUUCCAAGUGUAGAGGUGAAAUUCGUAGAUAUUUGGAGGAACACCAGUGGCGAAGGCGGCUCACUGGCUCGAUACUGACGCUGAGGUGCGAAAGUGUGGGGAGCAAAACAGGAUUAGAUACCCUGGUAGUCCACACCGUAAAACGAUGAAUGCCAGUCGUCGGGGUAGCAUGCUAUUCGGUGACACACCUAACGGAUUAAGCAUUCCGCCUGGGGAGUACGGUCGCAAGAUUAAAACUC